CGAAGAUGAUUAGUACAUUUUACCUUAUACAACACUUUGAAUGUACCUAUUAUAUUUUAUUCGGAUGUUUUUGAAUAAUUGAGCGCCCAAAUUUCAAAUUAAAAACUGAAAAAUAAAUGAAAAAGUUCAGACCGUUAAUGGACAAAAAAAUGUUCAUACAAGGGGUUUAUUAAUUUCCUAGCAAAUGCAUUUAGCGUAUAACACGCUUCCUGUGGAUUUGGACUUAUGCUUAAGCAAUAAUUAUAUGAUAGGGUUCUUAAUAACACUGCUGGUUUGUACUAAUUGCAUGCACUUAGCGUUUAAUUAUCACCUAAGCUUCAUACGUCCAGCUUGAAAGAGUGCUUAGUACGCACUACUACUUGUUGCCUAAGGAAAUUGACACACCAAGACAAAUAUAUUAAUAAAACAUAAACUAGUGAAGGUGAGAAAACAAUAGAAGGGCUGUGGCAUAUGUUAUAAAUUAUCUGAUUUAAUAGGUUACUUUUUAUUUCCAUUGAAUUUUGAGUUUAUAUGGAAUGUUUAAAGAUUGAUGGGUUUUUAUUUAGGAAUUGUGCUCAUAUUGUUUCAGUCUAUCCGGAAGGUUCUCAUAGAAUGUUAAAUUUUGCAUACUCGUGGGAAACUACAUCUUUGUAGUGGUUGAUUCAAGAACCACCAAUCCAUAUGGAUAUGUGAUCUCCAGUACGGAGAAUAAACUGUUUACCAUUCCUACCGUUCCAAAUAUUUAUCUGGUCACUUCCGAUGACAUGGGCUCCUACAUGGAUAUGAUGCUAUACCUGAAAGAUCAUGUCACUUUUGCCUGUCUGUUUGGGAUUAGCAUCACCGUGCAGUGGGUGUGCCAAACCAUUUACAUGCGUCGAACUACGAAACCUGAUGGAUUCCUAGUCCUUGGAUGGAACCCAAGAAGCGCGGAGCCACUGAUGAACAAGGUUUAGACAUCACAAAACGGAUAUGAUCAGGGGCUUAAUUCUGUCAAAGCAGGAUCGGCUGCUGAUUGGAUGGAUGACUUCGAAUUGUCAAUUGGGGUCGAUCAUCAGCUUGGAAUCGUGCUUAAUAAAGUAUUCACAUUCUGCAUUCCACCUGCAAUUGCAGCCCAGCCGCGGGAGGACUUCUUAAGGCAACAUUGAAAUCAAUGGCGUGGAUCAGCUCCGAAGCGAUCAAGAAGCACAUAUAUGAGUCGACUGUGGAGAACUUGACCUUCUCAGCUCUGAGUUCCCACCGAUAUUGAUAGCCAAACCACUCGACCUCCUUCUCAAGCCAAAUCACAUCCACUUCCUUCCCAAGCACAGC